rnacentral:rRNA from 1 species
UACGUAGGUGACAAGCGUUGUCCGGAUUUACUGGGCGUAAAGAGCGCGCAGGCGGUCGAUCAAGUCGAGUGUGAAAGCCCCCGGCUCAACUGGGGAGGGUCACGCGAUACUGAUCGACUCGAAGGCAGGAGAGGGUAGUGGAAUUCCCGGUGUAGUGGUGAAAUGUGUAGAGAUCGGGAGGAACACCGGUGGCGAAGGCGGGUCUCUGGGCAUCUCCUGACGCUGAGGCGCGAAAGCGUGGGGAGCAAACGGG